rnacentral:lncRNA from 1 species
CUGUAGAAUAUGUGGAGCUAUAGGUGGGCUGAAACAAGGAUCGAACUAGCACCACGUUAGUUAUAAAAAGCAAGUUGAAUAAACGCUCAACGGUGGUACUGUGCUGGUCCUAGCCUAGACCGUGCUAGAGACGCGAGCCUGAACACAAAGGGAAAACACAGCACACCACUAGAAACAAAAUGAGCAGCCCUACUGGAAACAAAAGGAACAACAAUCCCCUUUUUUAUUUUUUUUAUUUUUUCUUUCUUUCUUUCUUUCUUUUUCUUUAUUUUUUUUCUCUUUUCUUUUUUUUGGGGAACCUCAAAACCUGAUUAUAUAAACAAAAUAGUACAAAAUAUCACUUCACCACUCUCACUCUCUCACUAGAGUAAGGCUGAACCUCAAAAUUCAAUAUAUCUAGCACAAGUAUGAAGUGCUAUCUUUCCUUUUGGAUCACGUUGAUGGAAACACAGAAUAGACCAACAAGUGGCUGCACCUAUUAUCAAGAUCUACUCAAAUUCCAACCCACAAUAGAUUGGAUGCAGUUGUGACUAGAUGGUGACAAGAACUCAAAACUCUAAAGGACUAAACUAAAACCAGCACUGGACACGACCGAAGCAAACACUCAUUCAACUAGACCUAACUAAGUAGUACUAGCCACGGCACAAAGGAUUUAUAGGAUUAUGGAAAACUAAUCUGCUAUAUUUUUUGGCUUUUUUUGGACUAUAGGAAAAACAAACACGAAGAAUUGGAAAUCUCUCACCGAUAAACCUUGCUCUGAUUACCAACUGAUGUGAACCCACUAGGGUUUUCGCCUGAUCUUUCGAUGAGAGGCGCUGGAUAACUCGAUUAGUGAAUGGAGAUGACAUUCACGGCCCGACUACAGCCUUCUAAGGCCGCGCCUUAGCAACCGAUACACCGCCUCCAAUGGCUGUCACGAUCUUGUGGAGCGCAACACCCGGCCACUAGGGCACUCGUCCUGCAAGCAAUCGAAGAACCAGCAAGAACAAGUAGAACAAGUACUAAAUUACUAGAUGUAAAUGAAGGUUUCAAACUCAAUCUCUAAUGAAGUGGGGUUUCGAAAACAAGAAGACGGGCGGCUGGAUCAGCACGCGCGUUUACAAGCAAGUAGCGAAGGCUAAACUUUAUCUAAUCAAAACCCAGUUGUUCAUGGCGGCUCUAGAUGUAAAUAAAUAGAUGGGAGGACGACCAAAGGGGUGCUAGAGUCGUCCUCCAACCCUAGGACACGUCCCUAAUGGACUCAACUUGAUACAUGGGCCAUUGGUCCAAAAUAGAGUGACGCAGCACCAAAACAGAAAAACAUGUCGGCACAAAAACAAGGACUGCGCCCGACUCAUAAGCUGCAUAGAUAUGUGGUUGGACCCAUUGGAAAGUAGACUUCAUGAGCUUUCCAACAAGUAUAGGAACGUCCCAGUUGGAGUCAUAUGACGCCGUGGUGAUCCAUACAAGUUAGAGUUAUUUUCCAGUCCGAAUCCAACUCCCAAAACGUGUUGGGUUUGAACUCUUUGUUUCCUUGCUUUAGAAGCGACGUGGUAACUUGAUAGAGGAUGUUGUGGAGGCUUGGACCUGAUCUCCAAUCACCUUUCUUAAGUUAUCACUCUUCCCAUAUGCAAUCAGCCCUUGAAGUUGGUGUUGCCUCAAAUUCCGAAUGCAGUUGAACCUUCCCUUGCUGAUCUUGUCCAUUAUUCCUGAGCAACACGUAAGUGCACGUGUCUCCAUUGUCUAAAUAUGAUUGACAAGAGUUUAAAACUGAACUUACUUGAAGGUUGAGUUGACGGGCACGAGCAUGAGUAAGAGGACCAACUGGUGUAGGUAUAUCGAUGGUGUUGAUGUCCUCAUCAUCCUCCCUUUCUUGGAUUUGAGUCGUCCUCAACUCAAGCUCAUGUUCCUCACCCAAAUAUGGUUUCAAAUCAGCAAGUAUGUCCUCCGUCUUCUUUGCUCCAAAAUGUCCCAUCAAACCUCCUCCAUGAGCUUCCUGUAACAACAACAAACGAACAGAGCUAGCUGGAAUGCAUAGCUUGUUAGCUCUAAACACAAACCCAUCACUAACGAUGAAUUUGUUCCAUCCUUUUCCAUCUUUACAACGCAGCAACACUUCAUUAAAAUCAGCAUCAUGAACAUAUUGGUCUUUGAUCGUUUCUAAUCCAAAAAUCUUGUAAUCAAGUUGAUUUAGCAAAGUAUAUCUCCUUGACAAAGCAUCAGCAAUGAUAUUCUCCUUCCCUUUCUUGUGCUUAAUAACAUAAGGAAAGGAUUCAAUAAAUUCUACCCACUUAGCAUGUCUGCGAUUUAGUUUUCCUUGACUACGAAUAUGUUUUAAAGAUUCAUGAUCAGAAUGAAUAACAAACUCUUUGGGCCACAAAUAAUGUUGCCAUGUUUCUAAAGUUCGGACAAGAGCAUACAAUUCUUUAUCAUAAGUUGAAUAGUUCAGAACAGGCCCACUCAAUUUCUCACUAAAAUAUGCAACAGGUUUACCCUCUUGUAGCAAAACACCUCCCAAACCAAUCCCACUAGCAUCACACUCAAGCUCAAAAUUCUUAUUAAAAUCAGGAAGCUGUAGGAGAGGUGCAUGUGAUAACUUAUCUUUUAACAUGUUGAAGGAAUUCUCUUGUACUUUGCUCCACACAAAAGGCACUCCCUUCUUUGUAAGCUCAUUCAAUGGUGCAGCAAUGGUCCAACUGCCCAAGCUUGUCAUUCGUCACCUUCAAGUCGUCAUCAAGUCCCUCUGUGUGUAGCUUCACUUGCCUUUGAAAAUGUUGUAUGAUGCCCUUAGUGCGAGGUGACUGUGGAAUUUUGUUGGUAUCCUCUGUCUCUGACAUGGUUUAAAAAACACACAGUGGAAACAAGAAAAAUAGGUGAAGAAAUAAAAACCCUACAGCUAUUAGGAUGUGGCUACUGUAAGACGCUCUCUAUCAACCUGUCUAACAAGUUCUUACCAAUUCUUACCUUGCUCAACAGGAGGGAUUGGCUACCAACAAAUCCACAGCAAUAGACGAAGUGUAUCGGUGCCGCAGCAACAAAACCUAUCAAGCUGUAGAAUAUGUGGAGCUAUAGGUGGGCUGAAACAAGGAUCGAACUAGCACCACGUUAGUUAUAAAAAGCAAGUUGAAUAAACGCUCAACGGUGGUACUGUGCUGGUCCUAGCCUAGACCGUGCUAGAGACGCGAGCCUGGACACAAAGGGAAAACACAGCACACCACUAGAAACAAAAUGAGCAGCCCUACUGGAAACAAAAGGAACAACAAUCCCCUUUUUUAUUUUUUUUAUUUUUUCUUUCUUUCUUUCUUUCUUUCUUUCUUUUUCUUUAUUUCUUUCUCUUUUCUUUUUUUUGGGAACCUCAAAACCUGAUUAUAUAAACAAAAUAGUACAAAAUAUCACUUCACCACUCUCACUCUCUCACUAGAGUAAGGCUGAACCUCAAAAUUCAAUAUAUCUAGCACAAGUAUGAAGUGCUAUCUUUCCUUUUGGAUCACGUUGAUGGAAACACAGAAUAGACCAACAAGUGGCUGCACCUAUUAUCAAGAUCUACUCAAAUUCCAACCCACAAUAGAUUGGACGCAGUUGUGACUAGAUGGUGACAAGAGCUCAAAACUCUAAAGGACUAAACUAAAACCAGCACUGGACACGACCAAAGCAAACACUCAUUCAACUAGCCCUAACUAAGUAGUACUAGCCACGGCACAAAGGAUUUAUAGGAUUAUGGAAAACUAAUCUGCUAUAUUUUUUGGCUUUUUUUUGACUAUAGG